AUCAAUUUUAUUUUGUCACUAAAUAGAGGAUAUGUAUUAAUGGAGGGAUCCUAAUAUGGCCAAUAGGCCCAAUAAUUUAGGAUAGUAAAUUAUAUUUAACCCAAUUGAAAAACACUAUAACUACACAAGUGCGGAUUUUCUCAUCUAUCCAACACGCGCGAGUAUACACAUAUAUAUAAACAAGCUUUAAGACGAACUCAUACUACCAGCCAGCCAAAUAUAAGGAUUAUUAGAAAAACCAAUCAACAAUACAAACUGAAAAUACAAAGGACCAAAUAAUUAACAUGACUUGAUGAGUUUUCAAACUGGUCCGAAUUCCAAUGGGUGCUGAUCUCCCUUCUACGGACCAGGACCAUUAGAUGAGCAACUUCCGGAUACGUGUGAACACCCAUUAGGACCAGGGAAACGUUCUGGUCCUCUUGGAGCUGUUACUGUAUAAACUAAGAGAAUCAAAACCAAGAAGAAAAUAAAGAGCAAAAUAACAGAAUUAGCACCUCUUGUUGCCAUUUUUCGGUAUAAAGCUCUGGCACUCAGAAAUUUCAUUUUUUUUU
rnacentral:lncRNA from 1 species